rnacentral:rRNA from 1 species
AUUGAACGCUGGCGGCAGGCCUAACACAUGCAAGUCGAGCGGUAGCACAGAGAGCCUGCUCUCGGGUGACGAGCGGCGGACGGGUGAGUAAUGUCUGGGAAACUGCCUGAUGGAGGGGGAUAACUACUGGAAACGGUAGCUAAUACCGCAUAACGUCGCAAGACCAAAGUGGGGGACCUUCGGGCCUCAUGCCAUCAGAUGUGCCCAGAUGGGAUUAGCUAGUAGGUGGGGUAACGGCUCACCUAGGCGACGAUCCCUAGCUGGUCUGAGAGGAUGACCAGCCACACUGGAACUGAGACACGGUCCAGACUCCUACGGGAGGCAGCAGUGGGGAAUAUUGCACAAUGGGCGCAAGCCUGAUGCAGCCAUGCCGCGUGUGUGAAGAAGGCCUUCGGGUUGUAAAGCACUUUCAGCGGGGAGGAAGGCGUUAAGGUUAAUAACCUUGGCGAUUGACGUUACCCGCAGAAGAAGCACCGGCUAACUCCGUGCCAGCAGCCGCGGUAAUACGGAGGGUGCAAGCGUUAAUCGGAAUUACUGGGCGUAAAGCGCACGCAGGCGGUCUGUCAAGUCGGAUGUGAAAUCCCCGGGCUCAACCUGGGAACUGCAUUCGAAACUGGCAGGCUAGAGUCUUGUAGAGGGGGGUAGAAUUCCAGGUGUAGCGGUGAAAUGCGUAGAGAUCUGGAGGAAUACCGGCGGCGAAGGCGGCCCCCUGGACAAAGACUGACGCUCAGGUGCGAAAGCGUGGGGAGCAAACAGGAUUAGAUACCCUGGUAGUCCACGCUGUAAACGAUGUCGAUUUGGAGGUUGUGCCCUUGAGGCGUGGCUUCCGGAGCUAACGCGUUAAAUCGACCGCCUGGGGAGUACGGCCGCAAGGUUAAAACUCAAAUGAAUUGACGGGGGCCCGCACAAGCGGUGGAGCAUGUGGUUUAAUUCGAUGCAACGCGAAGAACCUUACCUGGUCUUGACAUCCACAGAACUUAGCAGAGAUGCUUUGGUGCCUUCGGGAACUGUGAGACAGGUGCUGCAUGGCUGUCGUCAGCUCGUGUUGUGAAAUGUUGGGUUAAGUCCCGCAACGAGCGCAACCCUUAUCCUUUGUUGCCAGCGGUCCGGCCGGGAACUCAAAGGAGACUGCCAGUGAUAAACUGGAGGAAGGUGGGGAUGACGUCAAGUCAUCAUGGCCCUUACGACCAGGGCUACACACGUGCUACAAUGGCAUAUACAAAGAGAAGCGACCUCGCGAGAGCAAGCGGACCUCAUAAAGUAUGUCGUAGUCCGGAUUGGAGUCUGCAACUCGACUCCAUGAAGUCGGAAUCGCUAGUAAUCGUAGAUCAGAAUGCUACGGUGAAUACGUUCCCGGGCCU